rnacentral:ncRNA from 1 species
AAUGUCAAAGUGAAGAAAUUCAAGUAAGCGCGGGUCAACGGCGGGAGUAACUAUGACUCUCUUAAGGUAGCCAAAUGCCUCGUCAUCUAAUUAGUGACGCGCAUGAAUGGAUUAACGAGAUUCCUACUGUCCCUAUCUACUAUCUAGCGAAACCACAGCCAAGGGAACGGGCUUGGAAUAAUUAGCGGGGAAAGAAGACCCUUUUGAGCUUGACUCUAAUCUGGCAGUGUAAGGAGACAUAAGAGGUGUAGAAUAAGUGGGAGAUAUUAGACCUCGGUUUGGUAUCGUCAAUGAAAUACCACUACUCUUAUUGUUUCCUUACUUACUUGAUUAAAUGGAACGUGUAUCAUUUCCUAGCCAUUAUACGGAUAUAUUUAUUAUAUCUUAUGGUAUUGGGUUUUGAUGCAAGCUUCUUGAUCAAAGUAUCACGAGUUUGUUAUAUAAUCGCAAACAAAUUCUUUAAUAAAACGAUGCAUUUAUGUAUUUUUGAUUUGAAAAUUUGGUAUAACUCCAAUUACUCAGGUAUGAUCCAAUUCAAGGACAUUGCCAGGUAGGGAGUUUGACUGGGGCGGUACAUCUCUCAAAUAAUAACGGAGGUGUCCCAAGGCCAGCUCAGUGCGGACAGAAACCACACAUAGAGCAAAAGGGCAAAUGCUGACUUGAUCUCGGUGUUCAGUACACACAGGGACAGCAAAAGCUCGGCCUAUCGAUCCUUUUGGUUUAAAGAGUUUUUAACAAGAGGUGUCAGAAAAGUUACCAUAGGGAUAACUGGCUGUGGCGGCCAAGCGUUCAUAGCGACGUCGCUUUUUGAUCCUUCGAUGUCGGCUCUUCCUAUCAUUGUGAAGCAAAAUUCACCAAGCGUUGGAUUGUUCACCCAUGCAAGGGAACGUGAGCUGGGUUUAGACCGUCGUGAGACAGGUUAGUUUUACCCUACUAAUGACAAAACGUUGUUGCGACAGCAUUCCUGCGUAGUACGAGAGGAACCGCAGGUACGGACCAAUGGCACAAUACUUGUUCGAGCGAACAGUGGUAUGACGCUACGUCCGUUGGAUUAUGCCUGAACGCCUCUAAGGUCGUAUCCGUGCUGGACUGCAAUGAUAAAUAAGGGGCAAUUUGCAUUGUAUGGCUUCUAAACCAUUUAAAGUUUAUAAUUUAUUUUAUAAACGACAAUGGAUGUGAUGCCAAUGUAAUUUGUAACAUAGUAAAUUAGGAGGAUCUUCGAUCACCUGAUGCCGCGCUAGUUACAUAUAAAAGCAUUAUUUAAUACAAUGACAAAGCCUAGAAUCAAUUGUAAACGACUUUUGUAACAGGCAAGGUGUUGUAAGUGGUUGAGCAGCUGCCAUACUGCGAUCCACUGAAGCUUAUCCUUUGCUUGAUGAUUCGA